ACUGGACCAGGCCGUACCCACUGUUACCAUGGAGAUAGAGUCAGCCCUCACCUCCAGCAAGACGGCUUUACUACAGACCGUCCCAUCAGGUUGCAUUGUAUACAGUGGAGAGUGCAAUGUCACCCCAGUUAAUGAGACAAAAGUUUGUGCUGGUGUCAACAGCGCUGCUCUACAGGGUCACCUUGACGACGGGCAGAUCAGCGGAGUCCUCUGUGAUUUCAGCGUCGAUGUUUACGCUUGUGGCUCG